GCAUGAAGUCGGAAUUGCUAGUAAUCGCAGAUCAGCAUGCUGCGGUGAAUACGUUCCCGGGCCUUGUACACACCGCCCGUCACACCAUGGGAGUCGGUAACACCCGAAGUCGGUAGCCUAACCGUAAGGAGGGCGCCGCCGAAGGUGGGAUUGAUGACUGGGGUGAAGUCGUAACAAGGUACC
rnacentral:rRNA from 1 species